CCUACGGGGGGCAGCAGUGGGGAAUAUUGGACAAUGGGGGGAACCCUGAUCCAGCCAUGCCGCGUGUGUGAAGAAGGCCCUCGGGUUGUAAAGCACUUUCAGUGAGGAAGAACGCCUGGUGGUUAAUACCCAUCAGGAAAGACAUCACUCACAGAAGAAGCACCGGCUAACUCCGUGCCAGCAGCCGCGGUAAUACGGAGGGUGCGAGCGUUAAUCGGAAUUACUGGGCGUAAAGCGCGCGUAGGUGGCUUGAUAAGCCGGUUGUGAAAGCCCCGGGCUCAACCUGGGAACGGCAUCCGGAACUGUCAAGCUAGAGUGCAGGAGAGGAAGGUAGAAUUCCCGGUGGAGCGGUGAAAUGCGUAGAGAUCGGGAGGAAUACCAGUGGCGAAGGCGGCCUUCUGGACUGACACUGCCACUGAGGUGCGAAAGCGUGGGUAGCAAACAGGAUUAGAUACCCGAGUAGUC
rnacentral:rRNA from 1 species